rnacentral:rRNA from 1 species
CCUAUCUAUAAUGGCGGCAUUUCAUCUCAUUAGAGGAACCUGCUUCUUUAUCGAUAACCCACGUUAAAUUUCACUUUAAUUAAAAAUUUAUAUACCGUCAUCUAAAGAAUUAAUUAAACAAUAUUAUUCUCAAUAAAAUAUAAAAAGUUAGAUCAAGGUGUAAUCUAUAUUAAAGAUGGAAUGGGUUACACUAAAAAAACUUUUAGGAUUAAUUAACAAAAAUUUCUUAUGAAAAAGGAUUUAAAAGUAAUAUUAUAAAUAAUACUUAAAUAUGAAAUAGAUAAUAAAUGUGCACACAUCGCCCG